rnacentral:rRNA from 1 species
CCGGGGACGGGGUGGUAAGUUAUGUCGUAGGAAGCGCCGAUGGAGGGGGAUAACUACUGGAAACGGUAGCUAAUACCGCAUAACGUCGCAGACCAAAGAGGGGGACCUUCGGGCCUCUUGCCAUCGGAUGUGCCCAGAUGGGAUUAGCUAGUAGGUGGGGUAACGGCUCACCUAGGCGACGAUCCCUAGCUGGUCUGAGAGGAUGACCAGCCACACUGGAACUGAGACACGGUCCAG